GUUGUCACACAGGCUGCAGUGGGAGGUUCGAGGAGGCCGGAACAUUUUACAAGUGAAGCAGUAUUUGAGCUUUACCACCUGCUGGUUGAUGAGGAUCUCCUUUGUGCGGGGAGGAGGGCGAUACGUAGAGGAUCCUGAGCUUCAUCAGGGGUGGCCCUGGGUAGAAUGCCCGGGUCUGUAAAGCUGGUUCUCAGGAGGGAGACGACCACGAACCCAAACAGCAUCACACCAAUCACGGGGAUGAAGACGGUGAGAUGCUCCACUAGGAAUGGGCAACUGGGAGAGAGAGAGAGAGAGAGAGAGAGACAUGAGAGGGUUUAAACCAGCAACCAUCACCCAAAGAUGGAAUGAACAGAGUUUACAGAAUGAAUCACACAUGACAUCGGUCCAACUUCCGCAUGCAUACAGCCACCGUCCGGGUUGCAGUCAGUACUUAAAUUGAAUCAUGAGAAUUGUGCAGACACUCACUCAAACGCAAAGAAAAGGCCACACGUGACAACAAUAAGGCCCAGUGUCAUAGGAAGGACGCCGCUUUGUCUGGCCAGGAUGAUCCGGCCAUCGCAGAAAAAUCGGUUCUUCCCUGGGAACACUUCCCACUUCCUCACCGGCCGCUGCUCCUUCUUCUCGGCGUGGUUCUGGGCGGACGCGGGCGACACCGACAGAGCCCGCGGGUCGAUCUGCUGGUACUCGCAGUUCUUCAUCGUGUAAACAGUAUCGGCGCGGUUCGCGGGUCGCUAAAGGCACAGCUCAACGCUCGCUCCGCCCGGCAGUCCUCCUCCUAGGACUCGCUCGUCGCACAUCUGAUGUUCCGCUCGUUCGGCUAGCGUUCAGUUACUCAUCCUGGAAGCUAACGCUGGCUAGCAGCGGGACCACCACACGCAUUCCGCUCCGCCUUUUACCAACUGCUCCUCUUCGUGCGUUGGCGCCAGGCUAACCACCAUCGUUGGCGGCUAACUUAAAUAUUAGCGCUCAUAUUGUCAAAACAACGUGGAGUUUUUUUUUUAACAGAGAACUCGAGUCCAACGGGCGCGUCUCAGCUCCGGCUCUUCUUGCGGUAGUUCACGUUUCCCCUUGCUUUGACCGUAAGCCGACGUACGUCGUGACGUGCGCGUGGACGUGCGCGUGGACGCGCCCACGAAGCUCGGCGCCGAUGUAGCAACGCCGCAGUUAAGAGGAAGGAUGAUUUGUAGAUUAACGGUAAACAGCGCUUCUGCGUCUAUAAUGACGUAGUUCCACGUUUUAUAUGGCUUUAAAUAACUAACCCUCACAGGCCACUUUAUUAAGUGCACCUGUUCAGCCUGAUUCACUCCCAUAAAGCAACUCUGCCAGUAAUUCUGCGCUAUUGUUGCCCAUUUUUUAAGCUGAAGCUGUUAGAAGCACCACAAUUCCUCUAUCUGUUCAUUAUUAGGUCGCGGCGUGUUGUGAAGUCAUAAUAGCGUGCAUUGCAUUUUAAUAUUUUGACCACAUAUUUCAUUUUUAUAUGUGGUUGUAAUUUUACAUCAUUGCCUCCAGAAAAAUGAACGUAGACCUGAGGGUCAUUUAUCAAGGAAAUGUUUAUUUUUUUUAAUGUCCCAAACUAUAACUUGGGAAAGGUCUUCCAAACAUGCAGUGCAAUAUUAGAUAAAUAGGCAAAAAGUUUCAACAAGAAAUUGCAAUAUUCUUUUCAAAUGCAAUAGGUCUUCUUCCUUUUACAUUUAAAACGAAUGGAUUUAUAAAAGGAAACAAAUUUACAACGAGUGUCUCAUUAAGAUUCAUGUGUGUAAAUCAAACUAGUUGACCACUGUGUGUAUAAUGCAUCAUGCCAGUCAGAUCUAUGUAGGACUGGGCAACAUAACCAUAAUAGGCAUAUGCAUUAUUUGUAGUCCAGUUCUGCAAUUUGGAUUAAUUU